rnacentral:rRNA from 1 species
UGCCAGCCGCCGCGGUAAUACGGAGGGUGCUAGCGUUGUUCGGAAUUACUGGGCGUAAAGAGUGCGUAGGCGGCUAGACAAGUUGGGGUGAAAUCCCAGGGCUCAACCCUGGAACUGCCUCCUAAACUAUCAGUCUAGAGUUCGAGAGAGGUGAGUGGAAUUCCAAGUGUAGAGGUGAAAUUCGUAGAUAUUUGGAGGAACACCAGUGGCGAAGGCGGCUCACUGGCUCGAUACUGACGCUGAGGUGCGAAAGCGUGGGGAGCAAACAGGAUUAGAUA